rnacentral:rRNA from 1 species
GGGGCUUGACAUCCCACGAAUCCCUUCGAAAGAAGGGAGUGCCCGCAAGGGAGCGCGGAGACAGGUGGUGCAUGGCUGUCGUCAGCUCGUGUCGUGAGAUGUUGGGUUAAGUCCCGCAACGAGCGCAACCCUCACCUCUUGUUGCCACCAGGUCAUGCUGGGCACUCUAGAGGAACUGCCCCGGUCAACGGGGAGGAAGGCGGGGAUGACGUCAAGUCAUCAUGCCCCUUACGUCCUGGGCUACACACGUGCUACAAUGGCCGGUACAAAGGGAUGCCACACCGCGAGGUAGAGCUAAACCCAAAAAGCCGGUCUAAGUUCAGAUUGGAGUCUGCAACUCGACUCCAUGAAGGAGGAAUCGCUAGUAAUCGCGUAUCAGCACGACGCGGUGAAUACGUUCCCGGGCCUUGUACACACCGCCCGUCACACCACGAAAGCCCGUUGUACUCGAAGUCGCUGAG